rnacentral:rRNA from 1 species
UACGUAAGGGGCAAGCGUUGUCCGGAAUCACUGGGCGUAAAGCGCGCGUAGGCGGUUUUGUAAGUCGGGUGUGAAAUCCCCAGGCUCAACCUGGGAACUGCAUUCGAGACUGCAUAGCUAGAGUAUGGGAGAGGGAAGUGGAAUUUCAGGUGUAGCGGUGAAAUGCGUAGAUAUCUGAAGGAACAUCAGUGGCGAAAGCGACUUCCUGGACCAAUACUGACGCUCAUGUGCGAAAGCGUGGGGAGCAAACAGG